ensembl:lncRNA
AAAAUGACAUUCACCAGGAGGCAGGAGAUGACCAGGGUUCUGGUGGAGCACCUGAAGCAAUUUGCCGUCCCAUACAACAGUCCAGAUUGCAGAAAGGACAUCGGAAACGAUGCUGAGUGGCUUGACAUCAACUUGGGUCUAUUCUCCACGGUGGCCAAUUACUCAGACCUCAAGGAGCUGAACAUCAGUGGGCUGGCAGCUUUGGAAUCCCUGUCACCUGACCAGAAAGCAGAGCUGCUGUUGGAUCCGUCCCACCGGUGCUCUUGAAAAUGUGACCGUGUUGAAGGAGGUGUUGAGCAGCAUCCUAAAAGCCCCAGAUGAGGAGCAGCUAGAGAAAUUCUUUGAAACGUUUGUGGAGGUCAGCAAGGAGGAAAACAUCACCUACAUCACAAACGCGGAAGUCCGGGACGCAAUACUGAACCUGACUUUGACGGCUCUGGCUCCCAAAUUCCCUCUCUUCCAAACCAGUGACU